GAGGAGCUGGAGGGAAUGUGACAGAAGAGCGGGCCGUGAUCAGCAGCGAGAAGAGCGCAUGCAAAGGCCACAGGGUAAAGUCUCUGGGACUUCCUGAAGGACUGGACACGAGGCGUGAAAAGCACUGAGGAAUCAAGGAUGACUUGGAGGUUUCCGGCCUGAGCAACCAGAAGGCUCAAGUUGCCAUGACGGGAGGCUGAAAGAGCAAGUGGAUCUAGGACGUGUCGAGUCUGAGACGUCUGAUCGACAUGAAAGAGCUCUCUUCCCUCUGCCAGCCAUCCUGCUCACUGCUACCAACGCUGGAAAAUACAACUCUGGUAUAAGGCAACUCUUGCGUCUCACAAAUCCUAUCUUCCGAUCAAGCUGAAACAAAUGUUCUUGCUCCCCACAUCCUCACACCCCGCCUUCCCUCCACCAGCAUGCUUACAGCAGCACUGCACCCUCCGAAGGCGUGCUGAGGCUUUUCCCACCGCAGCCCCGGAUCUCCACAAAGCCAAACUCACGCAUCCAGCAGAUCCAAAUAAAUGCCGCAUCUGCCCUGACGCCUUCCCAAAUUCUAUGGGAUGUUCUUUGUUCUUUUUUCCUAGUAAUUCGUCAACCACCGCCUUGUAUUAUAGCAAUGUGGAUAUAAAUCUUAUCCUCUCUUCACUGCAAAGAACAUGUCUGGUUUAUGUUCCUAUUCUUUUGACCCCUUGGACCUGUUCAGAAAGCAUUACUUAAAUGAAGUAACAAAGGCAUGGGCUAACGACAGAGGGUGUCCCUGAGCCAUUUGGAUUCCACCGCCAUAAGGUGUAGUGCAGAAAGUGGGGUUGAGCGGCCAGGUACAUUUCCUCUCUGAGCAACAAGGAAUCCAGGAGCCUGAGAGUAAAGAUGGGGUAGAAAUGUCUAGAGGUACAAGUACUUUGCAAGCAAAUAUUAUUACUGACAUGAAACAUCAUUUCUAGAAAUAAACACAAAGAUAAUCUUGUCACAGUCACUUCACUGGUCAAGUAACUUACUCAAAGUAACUUUUUUUAAUGUAUUAAGUCAAUUAAGGAAAACCAGGACCAGCUCAGUGAAGGAGAAAUAAAACUGGUUUGAGAUCCUGGACAAAUCCUAACUUCCCUGACCCCCAGCUCUCCUAUGUGUAAAAUGAAUGCUGUAAAAACUGAGUAAAAUGUAUAUGCAAAGACUCUCUCUAAUCCCUGGCACAAACAUGAGAACUCAAUAGAAGCUAUUAUAAGCCCAACUAUGCAACCAGCAACAUUACAUACUUUAUUUAGAGGCCUGGAAAACUCUGUAUAGGAAACUCUACUUCUCUGGGCUUUGAUUUCUUCAAAACUGUAACUUCAGUUGAAUGACCCACAGACUUUCUCACUGACAACGUUCAAUGGUUCUUGGACCUAUUCAUGCAACUAACAUAAGAAGCUUCUGGAAAGUCUAAAAAGGUCUGUCUAUCACACUGCCAAGGUGCUGCAUGAAGUUCUGAAUGGCUCCAGUCGUUCAGAGUGGGGCAGGAAACAGACAGGCCUGAUGACAAGGGCCUCUCGUGCUGUUCUGAAUGGAGGGGACUCACUGAAAGAUUUUCAAGCUGUUGAGUAAUAACAGAAUUGUAUUUCAGACAGACACACUAUGCACUGAAAAAUGCUGCCUGAUGAGAAUUCUACCUUUAAUUUCCACUGAGCAACACACGGAAGUCAUUAUUUGACUCUACUAUCCCAGAGCACUGGGAAAUCCCAUGCUUACAGAUGGAUUUUGAGUCCUUGCUUUUCAUGUUUUUCCCUUUCCAAAGUUCACUCCGGGCCCAGCUCUCUGGCUAUCCCAGGUACUUCUGUUGACUGCUUUCCAGAGGUGAAUUACCAUUCCCUCGGAAAACUUUCACAACUGGGCUGAUAAAACAAACCCAGACCGUAGCUGGCUUGCCCCAGCAGACUGCUCUGGUUCCAUGUCUGCAUAUUUCUACAUCAAAGAGAUGAAUUCAAAACCUAAUCCUCUAAGAUUUAAAAAUCAGAAUUUACAGAUUAUGCUAGUUUUCAUGUUUACCUAAAUAUAUAAGACCUAAUUCUAUCUAGAAGCACUAAUACUUGAAUCCUUUCUAAAACAAUCUCUUGGCACGUGGCAACGUGUACAGUUUACAGGUGCGCUACCACCAACCAAAGUGAAACAACCUUUUGAACUGCUAAAACGUCUGGAAAGUUAAAAGUAAUUCCAAGAUACUUUUGGAGAAUCUGUUUCCUAAGCUGUCUCUAAGAUUCUGCCAACCCUCUGGCAAUACCCUGAGAAACCCAAGUUACGUAAGGUGGAGGCGGCAAACUCCAGGCCGGGUCAGCCUGAAAAGGGAAAGACACCUCUUAGAUCCAAAGCCUCUCUCUCAGCACCCACAGUUCCCAGACAGGCAGGAGCCUGAGUUCCGGUAAGAAUUUUUCCCAAAGUGCAGUUGGUUUCAUCACAAACUCCUGACUUGCCUGGCCCUAAGGCAAACCUAAAAAUUUCCAUCUUAGACCAGGCAACAGACAAGUGCCCAGGGGAUUUCUGUGGCCACCAACCUGGUGCACCAAGGCUUAGAAACGACGUCCCACCAGAGUCAUCAGCGUAAGUGCAGAGACGUUAUUGUUUCAUACUCUGCCAAGCUCCACUAUGGCUACGGGACAGUCCUCUGUGGCUUCCCAGGAUGGUCAUUUAAAACAAUGACGAACUCAAUAAAUUUGCUGCCAAUAUGUUGUUGUACAAAUGCCAAACAGUGAUGCUCUUGGGAAAGUAUCAAACUCAUUUUCUCAUCAGUUUUUUCAUCCCCCGAAAAUGUAUUUUUACAAAUAAGGCACAUAUUUUAUAUUUAGAAAAUGGCAGAGGAGGAGGGAGUGACAACUAAGGAGGGCAAGAAACAUCCGACAGACAUCUGCCUACACUACAGCAACCAGAAGCUGGCCCGAGUGAGGUGGGAACGACCAAUAGGUGGCGACACCUCCUCAACUAAUGAGGUGUCCAGACCUGGAAUGGCAGGUCCGCUUUCCUUAGGACAGCCAGAGUGGAGCAGCCAUGCCCACUCCGCCUUCCUGCACUGUAGUCAAAGCACACCCCAAAAGCAGCUGGCCAUUCUGAGAGAUGCAGGGAAAGGAAUCCAUCUUGGAGCUGGUGUCCAUGUCACCUGGGGGUAUAUGUAAGCUUCCCCUGUCACUUGGUCCUCAUACGGCCCAUGAGGCAGGGGUCAUGACUUCCCAGUCUCCAAAUGAGGCUGACAGCUUCAAGAGCAUGGGUUUGGGUGGGGCAACCCGCAUCUGCAUUCCAGCUUCCUCACUUGCUCUAAGUGUGAUCUUGGGUAAGGGCCUUCGCCAGUUUAACAAGGCAACAAUGAAAAAGGACUGACAGAUCUCACAGGGUUGCUAUGAAGAGUAAAUAAGAAAUGCAACUGCUGGGCUGCGGUGGCUCAUACCUGUAAUCCCAGCACUUUGGGAGGCCGAGGCGGGCGGAUCAUGAGGUCCAGAGAUCGAGACCAUCCUGGCCAACACGGUGAAACCCUGUCUCUACUAAAAAUACAAAAAGUUGGGUGUGGUGGCAUGCACCUGUAAUACCAGCUACUCGGGAGGCUGAGGCAGGAGAAUAGCUUGAACCCAGGAGGCGGAGACUGCAGUGGGCUGAGAUUGCGCCACUGCACUCCAGCCUGGCGACAGAGUGAGACUCUGUCUCAAAAAAAAAAAAAA